rnacentral:rRNA from 1 species
CAGCCGCCGCGGUAAUACGUAGGGUGCGAGCGUUAAUCGGAAUUACUAGGCGUAAAGCGUGCGCAGGCGGUUAUAUAAGACAGAUGUGAAAUCCCCGGGCUCAACCUGGGACCUGCAUUUGUGACUGUAUAGCUAGAGUACGGUAGAGGGGGAUGGAAUUCCGCGUGUAGCAGUGAAAUGCGUAGAUAUGCGGAGGAACACCGAUGGCGAAGGCAAUCCCCUGGACCUGUACUGACGCUCAUGCACGAAAGCGUGGGGAGCAAACAGGAUUAGAUACCCCCGUAGUCCCUGUCUCUUAUAC